GGCCUGGUGGUGGAGUGGUACCACACCUGCUUUCCAUGCGAGUUUAAUAAUGAACACUUUCUGCGGGGGAUCCUUGUUCGAGUCAAGGUCAGGCCA